CCUACGGGGGGCUGCAGUGGGGGAUAUUGCACAAUGGGGGAAACCCUGAUGCAGCGACGCCGCGUGUAGGAAGACGGUCCUCUGGAUUGUAAACUACUGUUCCCAGGGACGAAGAUGACGGUACCUGGGGAGGAAGCUCCGGCGAACUACGUGCCAGCAGCCGCGGUAAUACGUAGGGAGCGAGCGUUGUCCGGAAUUACUGGGUGUAAAGGGAGCGUAGGCGGGGAUGCAAGUUGGGUGUUAAAUCUCCAGGCUAAACUGGUAGUCGCACUCAAAACUGCAGCUCUUGAGUGAAGUAGAGGCAGGCGGAAUGCCUGGUGUAGCGGUGAAAUGCGUAGAUAUUAGGAGGAACACCAGUGGCGAAGGCGGCCUGCUGGGCUUUUACUGACGCUGAGGCUCGAAAGUGUGGGGAGCAAACAGGAUUAGAUACCCCGGUAGUC
rnacentral:rRNA from 1 species